AAUGAAAUCAAAAUUCCGAAGCCUCCUAAACAGCCUGAUAAACCAUUACCUGCGUACAUGAGGUAUAGUAGAAAGGUGUGGGAAGCAGUAAAAAUGCAACACCCUGAAAUGAAAAUGUGGGAUAUUGGAAAGUUAAUCGGAGAACAGUGGAGGAACCUUCCUGAAGAUGAAAGGCAAGGAUUUUUUGCAGAAUACGAAGUUGAAAAGCUUGAAUAUCAGGAUGCUAUGAAAUUUUACCAUAAUUCUAAUGCAUACAGAGAGUGGUUAAAAGCUAAAGAAAAAG
rnacentral:lncRNA from 1 species